rnacentral:rRNA from 1 species
UACGGAGGGUGCAAGCGUUAUCCGGAUUUACUGGGUUUAAAGGGUGGCGUAGGUGGUGAGGAUAAGUACAGCGGUGAAAUCUCCAGGCUUAACUUGGAAACUGCCAUUGAUACUAUCUGUCUUGAAUAUCCUGGAGGUGAGCGGAAUAUGUCAUGUAGCGGUGAAAUGCUUAGAUAUGACAUAGAACACCCAUUGCGAAGGCAGCUCACUACGGGAUU